UCUUCAACUUCAUAAUCUCUCCCCACUCCAUAACUAAGACAGCAGCCCCUCCCAAGCCAUCCUUUCCAACUCUCUUUCUUCUUUAUUCCGAGACCCUCCCCACCCCAUUGUGCACACUCUAAUCAUAACCAAGAACACAUUCCACCCACUUUCUCUCCAUAUCACUCACCACUCUCACAACACCAUCCAAGCCUCUUUUCCCUCUCCCACUUCAUUCUCUCUCCCUACCCAUUGAAACUCUCACACUCUCUUCCUCCUUAGACAUGUGAGGCAAGAAGCAAAAAAGGAAGAAAAAUGGAGAAAAGAAAAAUGCUAUUAGAAGUAGGAGGAGAAAAGAAAAGAGGAUCACACAAGCAAUUGUUCAAAUUGCUUGGAAUGGGUGGACUCGGCAAUUCGGUAAGGCCAUACAAAUUAAAUCAACCUAUGAUAUAAUCUGUACAUCUAGUUAUUUUAGGAAUAAUAAUUAAAAAUGGAAUUUUUUUACAGGUUAGAUCGAAAUUGUUUGGAAAACCAUGCAAAAUAUCUUCAGUCGUUAUCUUAAUUCCUUAAUUUCUCAUUGAUUGCACCAUGUAGCUUUGACGGAUUGUUUAUGAUUUUUAGUUAUAGAUUUAUUGUUAUCAUAGCGUACUGAUCAAUGAAGGUACAAGUGUUCUCUGGUAUAAGAAAUAAAUUUAGAUCAACACUUGCACAUAUAUGAACUAUGCUUAGACAGUAGUCACAUUCUUCAACUUAUUUGUAAUGCUUGCAGUAUCCAUCUGAAGCCUCGUUUCAAAGUUUCCUCAUUUUGAUGCACAGGUUGAGAUUAGCACUUAAAUUCUUUUCAAAGGGUAUACUGAGGGGAGAACAUAUCAUAACUCCUUGCCGGAGAUGCUCAAGCUUAAGGACUGGCUCCCAUCUGAUACAUUUGAUUGAUCUGAGAAGUGGCUAUUAUCUGAUUAGAAUCUGACCAGGGAAUGAAUUUGUGUCAUUUGUGAUUUGGAUUUUUCUGUUUCUUUCCCGUCGUUCCAUCUUCCUCUCUCAUUUGUUUUUAUGUAAUAUGAGGUUUAGUACCUGCAGCUGGCAAAUUGUGCAUGUAAACUUAAAGCCUGUUUGUGUUGGUCAAGUAAAAUUUCAGGUACGUUGUCUUGAAAGUGUGUUUUUUUUUUUUUUUUUAACGUGGGUGAUUGUAGCCGAGAUUGGAUCAGGUUCAUUUACGAGGUUCUUCAUUUAAUAGAUUGUAAAUCCAUGAACAAAGGUGUACGAGAUUAUUCUCAUACGUGAACCUGAUCCGAAUUCGUUGUAGCUUUCUAGGUGGUGUUUAAUGGCUUUAUUGUUUUGUCCACGGAUGAAGAAACAAUAAAUUGCUCUCACGUUCUCGUUAA